GGUACUGUAGACUAGUUACUGCAUAUGCUUUAGUUGGAUCGAGAGUUAGUAAUCUUCCUUUUUUUUUUCUUAUGAUUACAAUGGUAUCUUAAUUUGAAACGAUCUAUGUAUGCUAUAUAAAAUAGAGCCAGUAGAGGUUUUAACUUUUAGUAUCGAUUUCAGCGUAUCACAAUUAUCAUCGAGAACAUUAGUUUUUUAUUAUUUGUUCAUUUUUUAAGGAGCUUUGCUUAGAUUUGUACAUUAUUACUAGCAGUGUAACUUUAAAUAAUACUCUGAACUACUCUUAUCUUCUACUUUAUAGCUUGUCCAUUCACACAUAACAGUUUUCUUUGUGUGUAUAGAGAUGUGCACAUACAUAUUUUUGUCUUUUACGUAUACAUUUUAAAAUUCAGUAUUUCAUCAUUCAAUAUUUGCAUUUGAUCUGGACUUGUCUGUGCCAAUAGAUAUGGUGGAAAAAAAGUGUACUAUGUUUUUGGGUGUUAAGAGGUUUGAAUUUCGUGCAAAGCUACACGAGGGCUAUCUCCACUAGCCGUCCCUAAUUUAGCAGUGAAAGACCAGAGGG
rnacentral:misc_RNA from 1 species